rnacentral:rRNA from 1 species
GAUGAACGCUGGCGGUAUGCCUAACACAUGCAAGUCGCACGGGGGCUUCGGCCUUAGUGGCGGACGGGUGAGUAACGCGUAGGAAUGUGUCCGAGGAUGGGGGAUAACGUUGGGAAACUGACGCUAAUACCGCAUAACUCCUGAGGGAGAAAGCCGUAAGGCGUCUACGGAGCAGCCUGCGUACGAUUAGCUAGUUGGUUAGGUAAAGGCUGACCAAGGCGACGAUCGUUAGCUGGUCUGAGAGGAUGAUCAGCCACACUGGAACUGAGACACGGUCCAGACUCCUACGGGAGGCAGCAGUGGGGAAUAUUGGACAAUGGGCGCAAGCCUGAUCCAGCAAUUCCGCGUGGGUGAAGAAGGUCUUCGGAUUGUAAAGCCCUUUCGUUGGGGACGAUGAUGACGGUACCCAAAGAAGAAGCCCCGGCUAACUUCGUG